GGUGUGCAGACCUCAAUCGUACACUUAGUAGGAGGGAGAAACCUAAAAAGACCGGGGAUGGCGUGACAUUAACUAGUAUCAGUCAGACAGGUGAUCAAGCAUCCCAAUCUUCCAAAGCUAACAGUCUUAGUGUCCGGAGUUCCACUAACUCGAUACGUUCCAGUUGCAAUCCAUUUGAGGAAGAGGAGAAUGGCAAACCUGUCAAUGAGAAGGAGAACACGUUAACCAAAAAUGUUAGCAGCUAUGUGAAGAGCCAGACUUACACCACAGAAUGGUCAGAUGAUGAAACAAACAAUCCCUUCAACUGCAAUGAAACAAAUGGUGACAAUCCUUUUGAAGAAGACCAUUCAGGCUCAGAAGUCAGAGUGCGAGCAUUGUAUGAUUAUGAAGGGCAAGAGCAUGAUGAGCUUAGUUUCAAAGCUGGUGAGUAUCCAUUAUAUUUCAAAACUUGAAUCUGUACAGUUUUAAUCCUGGAUUGUAGAACUACCUGUCAUGGGCAGGCAUUAUUAGAGUAGCUUUUAUUUUCAGUUGGUCUGUAGUAGGAAGGAUGCUCAGAAUCAGUGGUUAGAGAGGUGAUUUGUUUUUUCUUUUAGCAUUGAGAUGUUUGGUUGAAUCUAAAAGUCUGCCACUUUCUACAAAGUUGAUCUCUGAACGAAUCCAGGUCGUAUGUCUUUGCUAAAACUAUAGUAAAUGAGGAUAUUGUCAGAAUAUUGGAUGGGAUAAAAUUGAAGAUGUAUUUGAAAGGCUGGAUUUGGUUACCUGGUCUAGAUGAGAUGUACCUAGAUAGCUGAAAAAAAUAAGGGCAGAAAUUGCGGAGGUGCUGGCUGCAAUCUUCCAUACUUCCUUCAAUGAUGCCAGAGGACUGGAGAACAGCAAAUGUUACAUCUUCGCUCAAAAAAGGAAAGAAUGAUAAACCUGGCACUUACAGGCUAGCCUGAUUUAAUGUUGAUGGCAUUACAAGCUUUUGGAGAGUAGUCCGGCGAAACUUAACAGCCACUUGAACAAGUAUAGACUUAAAAUGGAGAACAACUAAGGAUUUGUUGAGGAGCAAAGUACUGCAGAUGCUGGAAUCUGUACUGAAAACAAA